AUUGAACGCUGGCGGAAUGCUUUACACAUGCAAGUCGAACGGUAGAGGGGGCAACCCCUUGAGAGUGGCGAACGGGUGAGUAAUAUAUCGGAACGUGCCCAGUCGUGGGGAUAACGUAGCGAAAGUUACGCUAAUACCGCAUACGAUCUAAGGAUGAAAGCGGGGGAUCGCAAGACCUCGCGCGAUUGGAGCGGCCGAUAUCAGAUUAGGUAGUUGGUGGGGUAAAGGCUCACCAAGCCAACGAUCUGUAGCUGGUCUGAGAGGACGACCAGCCACACUGGAACUGAGACACGGUCCAGACUCCUACGGGAGGCAGCAGUGGGGAAUUUUGGACAAUGGACGCAAGUCUGAUCCAGCCAUUCCGCGUGCAGGAUGAAGGCCCUCGGGUUGUAAACUGGCUUUUGUACGGACGAAAAGGUUUCUAAUUAAUACUAGGAGCUCAUGACGGUACCGUAAGAAUAAGCA
rnacentral:rRNA from 1 species